GACUCCAUAAAUAAUAAUUAUCAUCCUCACCUCAUACACCUGAUCUCCCUAAAGAAAUUUAGUAGUAUCUUGCUAACAACAGGACAGCCUGAGAACUCAUAGUAAAAACUGGCUACUGUGCACAAUUUUAUUUAAAGGGAUUAUUUGUAUCAACGUUCCAAACAUUUUCAGAAUCACACCAUUGGAUUAAAAAAAUUGGAUCUUAACCCUCUCAGUGUGGUUCACAGCUCAAGUGUAAUAAAGAGGGGUGUGUGGGGAAAUAACUCAUGGUUUUAAUAUUUGGCUCAAUUCUGAAAAUAUUACUAGAGGUAGAUUAAUCAUUUUUGAAUACAUUUCCUCCUUAGGAGCAAUUUCCAAACAAUUGAAGGUACCACGAGCAUCUGUACAAACAGCUGUAUGAGUAGCCAGGCGGAGAACUUAAUUCCUACUAGUUCCUAUAGACUACCCUAAAAUGGUACUACCCCUUUAAGAGUCCGCUGAUGUCAUGCGUGCGCAAUGCAUCAUUUGUACAGCCCGGUCAUGUAGUGCAAUUAGAGGUAAUUAACGCACUUGAUUAGGAACGGAUCGUACUGGAAAUGUAUGCAACAUCAACCCAAACUAAGACUGGCUGCACGGUGUGGCACUUAAACUCGUCUGGGAAUACUGUCUUUAACCACUCAAAAGGGUAAGUUGUCAACAUUCAAUGUAAAAAUGUUGUAAGCUGCAUUAUAUUUGUAUGUGUACGUUUAUUUUGGGGAAAAUACUAAAUUUGUAUGCUUCUGUCUGAUACAGAGGGGAGAGUUUUACUAUGCUGUGUUCCAUGUAUGCCGCUAAGUAGCAUGAGUUGCAUUACAGUGAGUCUUGGUUUAAUGACACUUUUUAUUUUGUAAAUGUAUUUGAUUCUUGGCAGCUAUGUACAUUAUUGGAAGUUGAUGCAUAUAAUGUUAAGAAUAUACUUUAUUCUGAAUGAUAUAGCCUGCCAUUGUCUAUGCCGUGCUGUUGUCUGUGCCAAUCUCUAUAGACUAGAUAGCAUGUGUUUGGAUUUUCCAGAGGCCCGUACUGAAGUUAGCAUAUAUGGUCCGUGUGUUCUGUGUGCACAUCAAGUGUAGGUAGAUAACCAGGAUACUGAGUGUGAAAAGGGUAUUCACUGUGGCUGUAUUCCUGGUAUCUUGGGUACUGCACAGUACUGGAGAGAAGACAUUUUAACUUCAGAGUGUGUUCUGUAAUACCAAUCCUGUUCUAAAUGCUCAAAACUACAAUUAAUGCUGUUCUUGGCUGAGAUCGGUCAGAGAAUAAAGAUCCCAAAAAGUUU